UACGUAGGGGGCUAGCGUUGUUCGGAAUCAUUGGGCGUAAAGGGCGCGUAGGUGGUUCUGUAUGUCUACCGUGAAAGCGUACGGCUCAACCGUAUUUUGUCGGUGGAAACUGCAGGACUUGAGGCUGGGAGGGGCUGGUGGAAUUCCCUGUGUAGCGGUGAAAUGCGUAGAGAUGGGGGGAGAACACUCGUGGCGAAGGCGGCCAGCUAGACCAGUUCUGACACUGAGGCGCGACAGCGUGGGGAGCAAACAGG
rnacentral:rRNA from 1 species